rnacentral:misc_RNA from 1 species
GGUGGAUCGAGGAGGAGAUAACUGCGACCAGCUCACCCUGUCUUAUCAGGGUCAAGUUUAUGUUUUCGAUUCUGUCUCGCCCGAAAAGGUUCAAGCCGUAUUAUUGUUAUUGGGAGGUCGUGAAGUACCUUUGCGUGUUCCAUCAAUCCCAAUAACUAAUCAACAGAAUGAUAGGGAUGCAGCGUAAUAAAGGCCAGUUCACAUCUUCUAAACCCAUCCAUGAAGAUUCAUCAUUGGCCAUAGCG